GGGGGGGGGGGGGGGGGGGGGGGGGGGGGGGGGGGGGGGGGGGGGGGGGGGGGGGGGGAUCCCGGCUGUCCCGACCCCGCCGGCGACUCCCGGUCCCGCCUCUCCCGCCUCUCUAGCGCAGCCACGCCCACCCCGCCAGGGCAGCCAGCAGGGAGAGCGGAACCCCGUGAGUGACAGGCGGCGAGGCCCAACCAGCACGCGCCUUGUUGCGGUGUGGCGCAGGCUCCGGCGCUAUAAAGGCGGCCACGCGUCGCGGGCGCGGGCCCGAGUACGUGUCUGAGGGGGAGGCGGCGGUGGCGGCGGGGCUGGUGCGGAGCAGCCGCGGGCAGCGGGAUCAGCUCCAGCGCCGGGGCAAUUUUAGUUAGACUUCGGUCAGCCCGGGUUUUAUCGGGAGCGGAUUUUAAAAGCGCUUCUCGUCCCUCUCCCUCUGCGGACGGGGCACCAUGUCGGAAGCGGAGCAGCAGCUGGCGGCCGGCGCUACCCAGAACGGGGGGGGGGGGGGGGGGGGGGGGGGGGGGGGGGGGGGGGGGGGGGGGGGGGGGGGGGGGGGGGGGGGGGGGGGG
rnacentral:lncRNA from 12 species